rnacentral:rRNA from 1 species
CGUUGAUAGGUCGGGUGUGUAAGCGCAGCGAUGCGUUGAGCUAACCGAUACUAAUGAACCGUGAGGCUUAACCUUACAACGCCGAAGGUGUUU